rnacentral:rRNA from 1 species
CUACGGGCGGCAGCAGUGAGGAAUAUUGCACAAUGGGGGGAACCCUGAUGCAGCAACGCCGCGUGGAGGAUGACGCAUUUCGGUGUGUAAACUCCUUUUAUAUGUCAAGAAAAUGACGGUAGCAUAUGAAUAAGCACCGGCUAACUCCGUGCCAGCAGCCGCGGUAAUACGGAGGGUGCAAGCGUUACUCGGAAUCACUGGGCGUAAAGGACGCGUAGGCGGGCUUGUAAGUCAGGUGUGAAAUCCUACAGCUUAACUGUAGAACUGCACUUGAAACUACGAGCCUAGAGUAUGGGAGGGGCAGAUGGAAUUAGUGGUGUAGGGGUAAAAUCCGUAGAUAUCACUAGGAAUACCUAAAGCGAAGGCGAUCUGCUGGAACAUAACUGACGCUAAGGCGUGAAAGCGUGGGGAGCAAACAGGAUUAGAUACCCCUGUAGUC